rnacentral:tRNA from 1 species
CCGAGAGGUCAGUCUGGACUAAAAUCAGGAUUCUUCUAACGAAUCUGGCUCCGCUUCUGGUCCCGGCUCCGAUUCCGGUUCUUCCGGU